rnacentral:lncRNA from 1 species
AGGGGACCACUAUCAUUCUAAUCCUAUAAUUUUUAAUCCAAAGAUCAAAAAGUUGAAAACACUAACUUCUUUAUACUUCUGAAAAUAUAAUAAUUUUACAAUAUAUAUAUAUAUAUAAUUGAGCUCCUAUACUUUUAAAAAUAUCAAGUCAUUGGUGCUUGUAAGUUUUCGGCCCUUAGAUUAAAGAAUGUGCGGUUAGGAUGAUGUGGGUCCCCUAGGGUUGAGUGGUGGUUGGUUGAAUAGUAUAAUCUAACAGUUGAAAAUGAUCAAAGGUAUAGAUCUAACGGUAAAAAAUUUACAAGCACCAAGUGCUUGGUGUUUUUACAAGCAUCAUAGCCGGACUAUAUAUAUAUAUAUAUAUAUAACCAUGGUAGCUUUCAUGCUAACGAGUCUUUUUCGAUGUUGGGAUUUCCGAAUCGACGAUCGAUUUCGUUGGACUUAACUUUGAGUAUUAAAAAUAUCUAAAAAAUAAAUUUUAUGAUUUAUCGAUAUCACUUAACUAAUGAUCAAAAGAGCUUAAGAUCAACGACUGAAAAUAAAUAUCUCACAAAACAUAACGAUGUGAUGCUAAGAUGUUAGAUAAAAAAUAUUGGUCUUAUUUUACAUAGUAUAAAAAAAAAUUUAUCAAAAUUUUACGUGAUUUCUGAGGUUUCGGCUGCCUCACUCUGUGUAGCUUAAUUCAUUUAUUUAAUAAAUGAAGCGGGUAGCGUGCUAUAUGUCUCUAAAAAGAAAAAAAAUUAUGUGAUUUGAAUAUUUUUAUACUUUAAACUUGCAAACACUUAUUACGACCAUUAAAAUUAUUAAUUUUGGAGCAGUUCGAUAACUAGAUAAAGGAUAUCGAAAAAUAGCUAAAUAUAUUUUAUAGAUACUUCAAACUCUUUAAAUCAGUUUAAUGAAGCCGAUUUUCGAUUCAAAAGUCACGGCAUCGAAAAUCACUUAAUAGCAGAAAAGUUACCAUGCUUCUAAAAGCAAACUAGCCU